rnacentral:tRNA from 1 species
GUGCAAGGGCUCAGUGGUAGAGCGCUUGCCUAGGAUGGAUGAGGGUCUGGGUUCGAUCCUCAGUACCACA